GACGAACGCUGGCGGCGUGCCUAAUACAUGCAAGUUGAGCGAUGAAGAUUGGUGCUUGCACCAAUUUGAAGAGCAGCGAACGGGUGAGUAACGCGUGGGGAAUCUGCCUUCGAGCGGGGGACAACAUUUGGAAACGAAUGCUAAUACCGCAUAACAACUUUAAACAUAAGUUUUAAGUUUGAAAGAUGCAAUUGCAUCACUCAAAGAUGAUCCCGCGUUGUAUUAGCUAGUUGGUGAGGUAAAGGCUCACCAAGGCGAUGAUACAUAGCCGACCUGAGAGGGUGAUCGGCCACAUUGGGACUGAGACACGGCCCAAACUCCUACGGGAGGCAGCAGUAGGGAAUCUUCGGCAAUGGACGAAAGUCUGACCGAGCAACGCCGCGUGAGUGAAGAAGGUUUUCGGAUCGUAAAACUCUGUUGGUAGAGAAGAACGUUGGUGAGAGUGGAAAGCUCAUCAAGUGACGGUAACUACCCAGAAAGGGACGGCUAACUACGUG
rnacentral:rRNA from 1 species